AGCAUGGCCUCAUGGGAGAUUUUCUGCACGUUGAACGAGACAGACACACAUCCACUGCAGACUUGGUAACGUUUUCAGCACCAUCUUCACCACCAGGAGAAAAAAAUCUGCAUCAACUACAAAGUAAAGCAGGUCACAGGUGAUGAGAUGGCAGUGUAAACUCUGCAAACAUGAGGAGUCAUCAAAAGUGUCACUACUCAAACAUUAUCGAGUGAAACAUGGUCAGUGCAGAGUUUCAUAGGAUCACGACCCUGAACCUUGAACCAAAGUUCAUGUCAUCGUUGGACUUGUAUUCAUCCAAACUCCUGUCCUUGUUUCAAGCCAAGAAAGGUGCUGCUGGACAACGCCACAGGGCACAGUUAAACCUUCUGCUUCAGAGUGGAAAUUCCAUCGAGAAAAAACGAGAAGUCAUCAUCAGAUGUCUCAUUGACCAUCUGGGAGAGGAUCCAAGUGCCUUAAUCAAAACCUUUGAGGUUGGUGCAAUAAAUCUGUUUUAGGAAUAUUAGUAGUUUAUUUUAGCUUGUGAGAUCAUAGAAAAGUUUU